rnacentral:rRNA from 1 species
UACGAAGGGGGCUAGCGUUGUUCGGAAUUACUGGGCGUAAAGCGCACGUAGGCGGCUUUUUAAGUCAGAGGUGAAAUCCUGGAGCUCAACUCCAGAACUGCCUUUGAUACUGGAGAGCUUGAGUCCGGGAGAGGUGAGUGGAAUUGCGAGUGUAGAGGUGAAAUUCGUAGAUAUUCGCAAGAACACCAGUGGCGAAGGCGGCUCGCUGGCCCGGUACUGACGCUGAGGUGCGAAAGCGUGGGGAGCAAACAGG